rnacentral:rRNA from 1 species
GNNUCGCCUGUUUACCAAAAACAUCGCCUCUUGCUUAACUAUAAGAGGUCCAGCCUGCCCAGUGAUAUAAUUCAACGGCCGCGGUAUCCUAACCGUGCGAAGGUAGCAUAAUCACUUGUUCUCUAAAUAAGGACUAGAAUCAAUGGCGUCACGAAGACCUAUCGUCUCCCCCCUACGAUCAGUGAAACUGAUCUCCCCGUGAAGAAGCGGGGAUUUAAAUAUAAGACGAGAAGACCCUAUGGAGCUUAAAAUGAGAUUCAACUGUUUUAUACCAUACCAUAGUAAUAUUCACCACUGAGCACUAAUUUUUGACUGGGGAGAUCGCGGAGCAAGCAUAACCUCCAUGAUGAACGGAAUAAAAUCCUUAUCAAAGAGAUACAUCUCAAAGAAAUAACAUCUUAACAUUUAUUGACCCAAACUACUUGAUCAACGAACCAAGUUACCCUAGGGAUAACAGCGCAAUCCGUUUCAAGAGCCCCUAUCGACAAACGGGUUUACGACCUCGAUGUUGGAUCAGGGUAUCCCAGUGGUGCAGAAGCUACUAAGGGUUCGUUUGUUCAACGAUUAAAACCCUACGUGAUCUG